AUAACGGUCCUAAGGUAGCGAAAUUCCUUGUCGGGUAAGUUCCGACCCGCACGAAAGGUGUAACGAUUUGGGCACUGUCUCAACGAGGGACCCGGUGAAAUUGAAGUACCUGUGAAGAUGCAGGUUACCCGCGACUGGACAGAAAGACCCCAUGGAGCUUUACUGUAACCUGACAUUGGGUUCUGAUACAUCACGUACAGGAUAGGUGGGAGGCAUGGAAGCGAGGACGCUAGUCUUCGUGGAGCCGCCGUUGGGAUACCACCCUUGAUGUAUCGGAAUUCUAACCGUAGGAGUAACGAAACUCGGGACAGUGUCAGGCGGGCAGUUUGACUGGGGCGGUCGCCUCCCAAAGAGUAACGGAGGCGCCCAAAGGUUCCCUCAGCGCGGCCGGAAAUCGCGCGAAGAGUGUAAAGGCAGAAGGGAGCUUGACUGAGAGCCAAACACGGCGAUCAGGUACGAAAGUAGGGCUUAGUGAUCCGGUGGCAUCCAAGUGGAAGGGCCAUCGCUCAACGGAUAAAAGCUACCCUGGGGAUAACAGGCUAAUCUCUCCCAAGAGUCCAUAUCGACGGGGAGGUUUGGCACCUCGAUGUCGGCUCAUCACAUCCUGGGGCUGAAGUCGGUCCCAAGGGUUGGGCUGUUCGCCCAUUAAAGUGGUACGUGAGCUGGGUUCAGAACGUCGUGAGACAGUUCGGUCCCUAUCCAUCGCGGGCGCAAGAGAUUUGAAGGGGGCUGCUCCUAGUACGAGAGGACCGGAGUGGACGAACCAAUGGUGUACCAAUUAUCUCGCCAGAGGUAUAGUUGGGUAGCUACGUUCGGAAAGGAUAAACGCUGAAAGCAUCUAAGCGUGAAACCAGCCUUAAGAUGAGAUCUCUCAUAGAGUAAUCUAGUAAGACACCUUGGAGAAGACGAGGUUGAUAGGUCGGGAGUGUAAGUACAGUAAUGUAUUCAGCGGACCGAUACUAAUAUGUCGAGGGCUUGACUU
rnacentral:rRNA from 1 species